CAGUCGCCGCGGUAAUACGUAGGUGGCAAGCGUUAUCCGGAAUUAUUGGGCGUAAAGCGCGCGCAGGUGGUUUCUUAAGUCUGAUGUGAAAGCCCACGGCUCAACCGUGGAGGGUCAUUGGAAACUGGGAGACUUGAGUGCAGAAGAGGAAAGUGGAAUUCCAUGUGUAGCGGUGAAAUGCGUAGAGAUAUGGAGGAACACCAGUGGCGAAGGCGACUUUCUGGUCUGUAACUGACACUGAGGCGCGAAAGCGUGGGGAGCAAACAGGAUUAGAUACCCCAGUAGUCCCUGUCUCUUAUAC
rnacentral:rRNA from 1 species